UGGACCCACACCCCACACCCCACAUCCCAUCCUCCACCCCGCAUCCCAUCCUCCACCCCUCACCCCCCAGCCGAGGUGCUGUGCGGAGGGCUCCGAGCCCUGCGACCCUCUGCCGGAGGCUGGCCCGCUGUCGCCGCUAUGGUCACUGUCUGGUGCCCGCAGCGCGAUCGUUUUUAAAACCUUUUCCCUGUCGAGAUGCCCGUGAAAGCUCCGCACCCCCCGUUGCAUUUCUGGGCCCAGCUGUGCGCCGCGGUGUUUCCAGCCUCCUCGGAGCCCGGGUUAAGAACCUUCGUUUUAGUGUCUGGAAGCCAGCAGCCUUCAGGGUCCCCGUUCCCGGAGCCAGCAUAGAGGAGCACAGUGUCGCCAAGGCUCCUGGAGCCAGAAGAAAGGAAGAGUGCCUUCCACCCUCUUGCCCAUUGAUCUCCUGUCAGUAGGACCGAAUUGGAGACCUCCUGGCAAGAGCAAGCUGCUUUCAGGAAACAUGCAUUCUGUUCUCUGCCUUCAUGCCUUCUUUUUCAAAGACCAGUGUGGGUGUGGCCUUUGAU